CACAGCUGAGUCAAAUUCAGCACCUGCCCCACCCAUGACAGAUGCUGGCCAAAAAGGCUGCCAUUGGAACGCUGUGACUCAUGGGCCCUGAUGUCCCUCCUGGACCUCAGGAAUAAAUUUGGUCACAGACAGCA